rnacentral:rRNA from 1 species
AGAGUUUGAUCCUGGCUCAGAAUCAACGCUGGCGGCGUGCCUAACACAUGCAAGUCGAACGAGAAAGUGGGGGCAACCCUGCGAGUACAGUGGCAGACGGGUGAGUAACACGUGAACAACCUACCCUCGAGUGGGGAAUAACACCGCGAAAGCGGUGCUAAUACCGCAUAACAUCCCUGGAGCGCAUGUUUCGGGGAUCAAAAGCGCAAGUUGCUUGAGGAGGGGUUCGCGCCUGAUUAGCUAGUUGGUGAGGUAACGGCCCACCAAGGCGACGAUCAGUAGCCGGCCUGAGAGGGCGAACGGCCACACUGGAACUGAGACACGGUCCAGACUCCUACGGGAGGCAGCAGUGGGGAAUUUUGCGCAAUGGGCGAAAGCCUGACGCAGCAACGCCGCGUGGAGGAUGAAGGCCUUCGGGUCGUAAACUCCUGUCAGGGGGGACGAAUGCCUUAACGGGCUUGACUGUACCCCUUGAGGAAGCCACGGCUAACUCCGUGCCAGCAGCCGCGGUAAUACGGAGGUGGCAAGCGUUGUUCGGAAUUACUGGGCGUAAAGGGCGCGUAGGCGGCUUGGCAAGUCAGAUGUGAAAGCCCCGGGCUUAACUCGGGAAUUGCAUCUGAAACUGCUUUGCUUGAGUCCUGGAGGGGGUAGUGGAAUUCCCAGUGUAGCGGUGAAAUGCGUAGAUAUUGGGAGGAACACCUGUGGCGAAGGCGGCUACCUGGACAGUGACUGACGCUGAUGCGCGAAAGCUAGGGGAGCAAACGGGAUUAGAUACCCCGGUAGUCCACGCUGUAAACGAUGGGCACUAGGUAUUCCCGAUUUAUUGGGGGUGCCGCAGCUAACGCAUUAAGUGCCCCACCUGGGGAGUACGGCCGCAAGGCUAAAACUCAAAGGAAUUGACGG